GAUGAACGCUGGCGGCGUGCUUAACACAUGCAAGUCGAACGGGAAAUAUUUCAUUGAGACUUCGGUGGAUUUGAUUUAUUUCUAGUGGCGGACGGGUGAGUAACGCGUGGGUAACCUGCCUUAUACAGGGGGAUAACAGUCAGAAAUGGCUGCUAAUACCGCAUAAGCGCACAGAGCUGCAUGGCUCAGUGUGAAAAACUCCGGUGGUAUAAGAUGGACCCGCGUUGGAUUAGCUAGUUGGUGGGGUAACGGCCCACCAAGGCGACGAUCCAUAGCCGGCCUGGGAGGGUGAACGGCCACAUUGGGACUGGGACACGGCCCAGACUCCUACGGGAGGCAGCAGUGGGGAAUAUUGCACAAUGGGGGAAACCCUGAUGCAGCGACGCCGCGUGAAGGAAGAAGUAUCUCGGUAUGUAAACUUCUAUCAGCAGGGAAGAUAGUGACGGUACCUGACUAAGAAGCCCCGGCUAGCUACGUG
rnacentral:rRNA from 1 species